UUGCGACCCCAGGUCAGGCGGGACUACCCGCUGAGUUUAA
rnacentral:rRNA from 7 species